rnacentral:misc_RNA from 1 species
UGUGGGAGCGGGCUUGCCCGCGAUAGCGGUGUGUCAGUCGAUAGCAAUGUUGGCUGGCAGUCAGUCAUCGCGGGCAAGCCCGCUCCCACA